CCGGCCGCUCGGACGGGUCCUCGCCGCCAGCGUCGGGGUCCCCAGGGCCGCCCCUGGCGGCGGGCGCGUGCGCUGAGCUGCCCUCGGGGAAGCCUCCCGACAGCGCGCAGCCCGAGGGAGCGGCGCGCCCUGUCGCCGAAUCCUGGCCCCGUGGCGCGGCGGGAUCUCGCCUGCAGGCCCCCGCUGCGGGAUUGGGCCGCUCCCCAGCACCGCCCUAGCCUACCGCGCCGAAACGCGUCCGGCCGCUCCCAGGGCUUCUCAGUUUCCCGCGGGCCGUGACGGCGGCCUCGUCCAGGAGGACGGGGAGGAUUUACCUGUAAGGCCCAGGACGCAUCGAUCUGCGCAUUUUCCCCGACUGGUUUCAAGAGGAGCACCUGCAACGCCAGUGGUGUUUGACCUACCCCUAGAGCAGGCGGCAGAUCUUUGAGGCAGAGAAGAAGCUGAUGGAAUCCAUGAGGAUCACUAUAUUAGCUGCUGGCCCAGACCGAGCCAUAAUUCCAGAAAUGGAGUGGAUGAGCCAAGUCCUGCUGACGGUGGACAUAGUUAACUCUGGGGACUUGGUUGAAAUCACCAUCUUCGGACGGCCCGGUGUACAAAAUCGGGUGAAGAGCGUGCUCCUGAGCCUGGCAUCCUGGCACCAGAAACAUCGUGCCCGAGGUUCAGAGCCUCCACCUGAGAAGUGAUGCUGCUAGCACCUCCCCUCCUCCCUCACUCCCUUCAAUGAUGGAGUAGUUUGGAACAGAAAGCAUUUUUCCUUAUCCAGCUGAGAAGAUGAAACAACUUGAGGAGUUCUUGAAGGCGGGUGCAUCAGGUCCCCAGGCCCCCCAGCAUCCUGUUGCAUAAGUAUUUUCAGGAGCAUUGUGAGAAACAGUCCUGCUUCUACUACUAAAGUUGGAGAGAAGCAAGUAUCCAUAAAUCUCUGCAUUCUUUUUUUUCCUGUGUCUUGAUGGAUAGUGCUUUGAUUAUUUUGAUGCAAAAGUGAGUUUGUAGUGCCAUUCUAGUAAAUGAAUUUCCUUUUUGUCCAAUGGCUUAAAGAUCUUUGCUCACUUAAAAUUAAGCAAAUAUAUAAAAGAUUGAUUCUGUUCAUUCAUGCCUUGAUGUGAGGGGUGGGUAAAAGGCUGAUAGGUAGUGGUUUUAUUUUUGUUUUUUCCUUUGCCUCUAUCAUUUUGAAUCUACUAACCCUUUUAUGAUUUUAUGGCCAGAGUCAGGCCCUCAAGCACAGGCCCAUGAAUUUGCAUUUCUAAUAAGCUCAUAGGUAAUGCCAGUGCUUCUCCUCUGAGGCUCUCACUUUAAAGUUGGUGGUUUGGCCUCUGGGUAGCACCUAAUGUGCAUUUUCUUCUUGGAGUGGAGGCUUCCUCCCUGCACAUGGGUGGGUGCUCCAACACAAAA